rnacentral:rRNA from 1 species
CAGCCGCCGCGGUAAUACGAAGGGUGCAAGCGUUAAUCGGAAUUACUGGGCGUAAAGCGUGCGUAGGCGGUUUGUUGAGUCUGCUGUGAAAUCCCCGGGCUCAACCUGGGAAUGGCAGUGGAUACUGGCAAGCUAGAGUGUGUCAGAGGAUGGUGGAAUUCCCGGUGUAGCGGUGAAAUGCGUAGAGAUCGGGAGGAACAUCAGUGGCGAAGGCGGCCAUCUGGGACAACACUGACGCUGAGGCACGAAAGCGUGGGGAGCAAACAGGAUUAGAUACCCCCGUAGUCCCUGUCUCUUAUAC